GUGGGGAAUAUUCCGCAAUGGACGAAAGUCUGACGGAGCAACGCCGCGUGAGUGAUGAAGGUUUUCGGACUGUAAAGCUCUGUUGUUUAGGACGAAAGUGCCUGUUGCGAAUAGUUACAGGUAUUGACGGUACUGAACGAGGAAGCCACGGCUAACUACGUGCCAGCAGCCGCGGUAAUACGUAGGUGGCAAGCGUUGUCCGGAAUUAUUGGGCGUAAAGAGCAUGUAGGCGGGAAUCUAAGUCUGUUGUGAAAAUGCGGGGCUCAACCCCGUAUUGCGAUGGAAACUGGGUUUCUUGAGUGCAGGAGAGGAAAGGGGAAUUCCCAGUGUAGCGGUGAAAUGCGUAGAUAUUGGGAGGAACACCAGUGGCGAAGGCGCCUUUCUGGACUGUGUCUGACGCUGAGAUGCGAAAGCCAGGGUAGCGAACGGGAUUAGAUACCCUAGUAGUCC
rnacentral:rRNA from 1 species